rnacentral:rRNA from 1 species
UGAGCUUGAUCAUGGCUCAGAUUGAACGCUGGCGGCAGGCCUAACACAUGCAAGUCGAGCGGUAGAGAGAAGCUUGCUUCUCUUGAGAGCGGCGGACGGGUGAGUAAUGCCUAGGAAUCUGCCUGGUAGUGGGGGAUAACGUUCGGAAACGGACGCUAAUACCGCAUACGUCCUACGGGAGAAAGCAGGGGACCUUCGGGCCUUGCGCUAUCAGAUGAGCCUAGGUCGGAUUAGCUAGUUGGUGAGGUAAUGGCUCACCAAGGCGACGAUCCGUAACUGGUCUGAGAGGAUGAUCAGUCACACUGGAACUGAGACACGGUCCAGACUCCUACGGGAGGCAGCAGUGGGGAAUAUUGGACAAUGGGCGAAAGCCUGAUCCAGCCAUGCCGCGUGUGUGAAGAAGGUCUUCGGAUUGUAAAGCACUUUAAGUUGGGAGGAAGGGCAGUUACCUAAUACGUGAUUGUUUUGACGUACCGACAG